CUAGCCAUGCCGCGUGAGCGAUGAAGGCCUUAGGGUUGUAAAGCUCUUUCAGUGGGGAAGAUAAUGACGGUACCCACAGAAGAAGCCCCGGCUAACUCCGUGCCAGCAGCCGCGGUAAU
rnacentral:rRNA from 1 species